AUGAUGACAGAGUAACAUCUUUCAAGACCAUUUCAGUGCAGAAUAUCAAACAUAUCUGCUGUUACAGAGGGUGUAAGACUGAUCUCCAAGACAGAAGUUCAGCUAGGAAAUCCAUGGUUACAGGUAAGCUGUGUAGGCAUAUCUGGAUCUCUGUGUUUGUUAGUGAAGAGCUUUCAUGUUCUAAAGUAAGUAAUUACAACAGGGUGAGUGUGUGUUUUUUACAUAUAGGGAUAAGGUUUUCUUAAUAGACAAAUAGGUGAAGGAUGCACAGCAUAGAGAACUUAGUUCUAUAUCAAUAUCUAUCCCAGACUAUUUUAGUGAUUGAUCAGAGGCCUGAAUAUUUAAGGCUGGAGAAUGCACCUCAUUCUGAUGAAAAUGAAACAUGGAUAUUUUUAAUCUGGUUUAUACUGAGCUUAUUUCAAAGAGUAGUUGUCUGGGGUUUGUUUCGGGCUCCCUUGAGAUUAUGUAAGCACUUCAAGUUGCAUCCAGAUGUGCUAUACUGCCACGAAAUCUUCAUAGAGACAAAGAAUGGAUAUUUCUGUUACAUCUUGUGUGCAGGUCACAGGGAGGAAUGAAUGCCUGUUCAACACUGGAACAGACAACAGAACUCAAGAGAUUUUUCCAGUUUACUACUGUCUGUAUUUCUCAGAGGCUUUGAUCUUCACAUAAUGUUUGUUUACUCCUGCAGGCACAUAUAUGUCAUAUCAUAAUGGCUCCUAUCUGUAAAGACAUGUGUCUGUCACUGUCAGAUUUUAUUCCUGAUGAGUGACCACAAGAAGUACUGAGAUAGGUGGAUUGGCAGGACACAUGUGAGCAAACAGCUUAAAGAUGGGGUGAGCUUCUUGUGCCCUGCUUUUCAAUUCUGCUUAGGAAACAGCACCCAGGCUGACCAUGAUAUGACACGUAGUGAGACACCGUGGCUUGACUCCAAACAUGAUUUUCCUUGGUGUUUGUUACUAAUAUUGAGAGUUUUUUUCACUGCAGCUGCAGGCCCCAACCUCACCUGGACAUCGCCUGGCAGAUGGUCCCACAAGUCACACCACAGGGAAGACAUCUGCAUGCAAGGAUGCCACCUUGCAUGUACAGUAAAUUUGCCAGGGGUAAGCAGAGCCCUUACUUUGCAAGGGUCACAGUUAGAAGUUCCUUGCAAGGGCUGAAUUCACCAGCAGCUCCUGAAAAGCAAGACUUGAUUAUUGACUGUGCUUUGCCAAGAAUUACAUAUCAUUAUGUUGAUUCAUGUUGCUACUCUCUUUGCAGCCCAAGAGGUCCUGAGAGUCACCCUUCCUCUCAGUAAGAGCAGGGGGGAGGCUCACCUGAAUGCCCAGCUGCUGGUCUGCCGUGUCUUAGCAGGGAUCAUUUCCCUUCCAUCAGAGUCCUGAGUCCCUGAAGGAGGUGCCAGUCUCACAUGCCUGCCUGCAAGGCUCACAGCAGCAUCUUUUAGAUGAGAGAAAGGGAAAGGACAGCUAACACUCCCCCACAUCAGCACAGCGUGUCCCAGAAACCUCUAAAGGAGUUGCUGUUAAUUUUCCCUCCCACAGUCCCCCUGGAUAGUGUGGGCACAAGAGUGUGGAAAAAGCUUUCAAAGCUGUGACUUGCGAUUUCCCCGCAGGGGCUCACAUAGGAAGGUUAGGGACAACGGAGGGAAGUGCACGAGAAGAGACCUUUGCCUGCUCCUUGCAAAUUGCUCUCCCCUGCAGUUAAGUAACUGUCCCUCUCACACUCCCUCAGACCAGGGAGGAUAUGACAUUUUAUUUAGUGUAAAGUCACUCGAAGACUUGCCAGCACCUGCCCCACAUGGCACAUUGCUGCCUCUGGUUGUAGGGCUGUGCUGGGAAUGCAGAGGUGAAGCAUUUGAAUUCAGAAAAUAAACUUCCCAGGGAGAAGUGAGUGAUGCUUUCCCCAAUGAUUUCAGAGCUGGCCUUGCCAUGCACCCCAGGAAGAGUUGCCACGGGAGCGGUGAAGAGACCACAUAGGGAGUGAGAGGCUGGCAUCGGGACAGCGCCUGGGCACGGGGAGCGGGUGAGUGGGCAGUGGUGGAAGAGGGACCUCUUCUGGCAGCUUGUCCACUACUGAGAACCUGGACUCUACAAGAAAAAAAGUGUGCAGCAUUUCAGCACGCAGCCCUUACUGACAGAGAAAGAAAGAAGAAGCAUCUCUUUUGGGAAGGUCCCUCCCACUCCUGUGCAUUUCAUGUCAGUAAAAGUGCAGUAAGCCCAGCAGGCAGGUAGGGAUGUCUUCUGGCCAAGAAGGGAACCAGUUAUCCUGGUGGAAGUGGCCUGUUUCAUUGCUGCAUGCUCCAAAGAGCUGCUUGCUGUUAGUGCAGGAAAGACAGAGGCAUUUCCUCACAGAAGGGGACAGAAGAGGAGAUUCCCUGCAGGAUACAGUCUGCACUUUCAUCCAGAUAACAGUAAUUUGAAUAAAACUGAUUAAGCAACGUGGUGUGGUCUGCCCUCUGACAUUAUCAUGGAAUCAUAGAAUGGUUUGGGUUGGAAGGGACCUUAAAGAUCAUCUAGUUCCAACCCACCUGCCAUGGGCAGGGACGGUUUUCUCUCUCCCCCAUUGCUUUGUCUUUUCCCUUAUUUCCUGAAUUUAUUUGGGAUUUUUAGCAUUAGUCCUUAAAGCAGUUGUAUUGAAUUUAACAAGCUGUGGUUUCUCUUUUUUUAAAAGGAGUGUGGUAGAGAGGCACUAUUAUCUACUGAAGUCCUCUGAAAUGGAGAACAGAAAAAGCCUGGCCAAAAGAGGAAAAAGUGUUGCAAAAGCCUCAUAACAGCCCAAACUAAACUUUAUUGGCAAAAACAAAACUUGUUUUUCAUCAUGCUCUGCAUCCCAGAGUGAUCCAGGGUCAGGGAAUGCCCUGCAGGAAGGUGUCUGUGAACACUUGAUUAAUGGAGAAAAUGGCACUGUGGCCAAAUGACUGCAGCACCUCCUCAGACUGAUCCCAAAAUCAGCUCAUACCCAGCUGUACCUGGGUGCACCAAGACUCCUACAUGUGCUGAAUGGCACCUGCACACAUUCAGCAUCAGCAGGCCCCUGGUAACCCCACAAAUGCACAGGGUCCCACCUGGUGCAUCUGCCAUAAAUCCAACAAGGAAAGGAACAAGCCAAGAGAAGGAGGUGCUUGGUGAGUUCUGGGGAUUCACUAUUUUCACACAAAAAUGCAAGUGGUGAAGCCAGUUGAAAUGGGAGGAGCCUGGAGGCAUUAUAUUCUGGUGUGAGGGAUAGUCUUAAAAUCUCCUUUCUCUCAUUCCAGAAGUUUGUUUUUCUGUGACCUGUGUGUAUAUACAUGCACAUAGGAGGAACAGAGGUCCUUAUGGGUAAAAAGAGCAUCACAAAUAGAACUGGUCAAAAAUCCAAAGUGUGUCUCAUACAUGGGACUUAUUUCUAUCCUUUUCUUUUCUUUCCUUUUUUUUUUUUUUUUUUUAAUUGAUCAGCAGGAGUUAUUCAUCAGUGGAUAUUUGUGUGUACAAGCUCGGAAUUUAUCCUAAAUCUAUUUUGUACACAUGAAUAAAUGUUGUAUAUACCCCAACAUUAAUAGCAAGAGGCCUUUAACAACCUUUAAGAAAGAUAAACAAAAUUAAAACUUAACAGAAGACAAAGUAUAUGCAAUUUUUAGGUCAUUUCCUUCAGCAGUAUUUUAUGUUGAAGGCAAAGAAAGUGUUGUGGAAUCCUGCUAAAAUGCAAAGCUGCCAUGUAAAAUGCUACAUUAUCUGUACACCUGAUGCCUCCAAAACCUUGCAAUUUUUACAACAUGCUGAGUACAAUUUAAUUAAGAAUCUUCAUGCAGGGACUGUUGUCAAAGAAUGUGCUUUUCUCGGCACGCAGUUGCUAACAGUAAAAAAAGAAAAAAAAAAGUAUAAUCCAACAGCAAGUGGAAAAUCUGCAGCCAGAUUCCUGCAAAGCCUCUGAGACGCCAAUUAAAAAAGAUUAAAUAAAACAGAAUGCAAUUUUGAGUUAUUAUUUCAGAAAGCACAUCCGUGAAUUAUAAAAGUGCCGUUUCCCACCGGAAAGUUGUGGGAGCCGCGUGCCUAAUGCAGGCACAUUAACGCUCUGGUGCCUUCACCAGGGACUGCCGAGCAUGAAAUAAUAUUGUUCUGGAAUAAAAAAAAAAAACACAUUAAGCAAAAACCACCAAAAUGAUUUAAGAGCAGAGUGAAUUAAGCUGGAGGGUGCUGUGUUGAGAAAGAGAAAAUGCCGUGUUGCCCCAUAGCACAGGUACAGGGCUGGCCCUGCCUCCCCAUCCCCAGUUCUGACCAUUUUUAACUUUGCUGGGUGUGUUUGAGCCUCUCAAACUUGUUAACCACAAGGGUUUGAAAAAUCAGCUUCUUACCUAUUCAAAAUAGGGCUUACACUCUGAAAUUAUUCAGCCAUGUUGCUGAGAGAGAGAAUUGGGAGCCAGAAAGACAGACAGGCAGACAAAAAGAAGAAAGGACAGAGGAACAUUUUCUGGAUAAGCAAACUCAAUCUUCCAACACUGAGAUCUCAAGUAAGGAAGCAAAAUCGAAAUGAAAGCUUUCCAGUGCUGUUGGAGCACUGAAUUCUCUUCCACAAAAUUGUAAUUGCUGAUUUUUAUUGACUUGCCAUUGGCAUUUAAGCACUUUCAUCUUAUCCUAGGACAUCCCUGAUAGAACUGACUUUAAACAUGUGACUUUUUAAUUGUGUCUUAGCAUUAAUACUAAUUAUUAUAAAAAUACAAACAAUAGUUUGUAAAACUGGUAAAUACUACCUCAUCUAAACCCAUUUCUUCAGCACCCAUUUAAGAAAGGGCACAUUAAGAAUGGCAAAAUUGUUAUGACACUGAAUUCAGAGGUGAAUUUUGAUACCUGAUGGCACAGGGGACACUGCAGCAUUUCAUCAGUUUGAAUGUCUUUCAGAUCUUGCUGAUUCUACAUUUAAAUUUUGACAUAUUCAGAAUUAUCCAAUGGACCCAGAAUGCUACAUUACAAAAUGCAGGAGAAAUCUGUGCAGUGAAUGUGCUCUGCUCUGUGGUGGCAAAUUUAUGGUGCUAUAUAAAUGGUUGAUAAUUAUUUCAUAAGCUACAGAAGCAAAGCAUACAAUAUUCAUACUUCACAGCAUACACAGUUUAAAAAAAAAUUGAAACACAGGUUGGUGUGAGGAUAUGCUUUUCUAUGUUUGGGUUUAUGGAAGCACCUCUUUAUUUUAAAUAUUACCUGCCUAUAGGUGCUCUGGAUGUCUCUGAGAAAUUUUUAUUUAAUGCAUAAGCGAGGAAUCCUAAGUUAUAAGCCAGAAUACCUCACAUCUAAAGUUUCAGAACCACUGCUAAUUUAAUAUUGGAUCUCAGAGAAAAUAGCUCCUAAAAAAACCAUGUACAGAUCCCUUAACAUCUAAAGAUGGCUUAUAACCAAUAUGAAUGUUGUACUGAACUUAAAAAAAAUUCAUUUGUAGUCUUGGUAUGAAGAUAGAGCAAUUGCAGACAUCCCAAGAGACUUCAGACCAGACAUUCAGCAGUUAUGAAGUGAUGUAGUUUUAUAUGUGCAGUAUGUUGUCCACCAUGGAAAUUUUCUAACACAAAGAAUGACAGGACUCAGCUCACUGUGAUAUGAAUAAUUCAGUACAUGAAUCUGAAGGAGCAUCUGCUCUGAAGGAAAGGCAAAUUAGGCUUAUGUUACUUCUUGCUUUUCUUAUGAGUAAGACUAUUAGGUAUGUAAAUGUGUGAAUUCAAGAUCUUGUAUCUGUUUGAAUACUCACUUCUGUGCCAGAACAAUAAGGAACCAGAUUUUUGGCCUAAAUCUAUGUUGAUCUGUUUUGAUAUUGUUCUAUCUGGAUAUAGUAGAGACAAGUGUAUAAUUCACACAUUUUGUUUAAAAUAGGAGGAGGUGGGCCAAAUUCCAGCUCCCUCCAAAUGAUCUGGAGGGUGCUGAGGCGUAUGAACAUGGUACAUUGACUUUUCUAUCCUGUAUCUUGAUGAUUUGAAUUCUUACUCAUCCCAUCCAGUUAUCCUGCCUCCCAGUCAUAGGCAGCGACACGUUCAGAAUAUGUGAAUCCAGCCAAAGAACUGUAUAGAAAAUAUGUGGUUUGGCCUUUUUUCUUCUUGCACGGAACACGAGUGGGACACCUCUAUGACAGUGCUGCAAUGUGCAGGAUCCAGUGAGACACGACAACUUGAUGCUUAAAUGGUAAUUGAAAAUGGAUGAAAACACGAGGAUAAAGGGCCCUCAUCACCAGUCUGACUUCAGGGGAGGAUCCCUUCAGGUACUGGAAGGCUCUGAUUAGGUCACCCUGAAGCCUUCUCUUCUCUCAGCUGCUCCAGCAUUCCUUGUUAGCAAAUGCUCUCAUGCACCCCGACGUGGAGUCAGGAUGCCAGAUCUGAAACA